rnacentral:rRNA from 1 species
GAUGAACGCUGGCGGCGUGCCUAAUACAUGCAAGUCGAGCGAACGGACGAGAAGCUUGCUUCUCUGAUGUUAGCGGCGGACGGGUGAGUAACACGUGGAUAACCUACCUAUAGGACUGGGAUAACUUCGGGAAACCGGAGCUAAUACCGGAUGAUAUUUUGAACCGCAUGGUUCAAAAGUGAAAGACGGUCUUGCUGUCACUUAUAGAUGGAUCCGCGCUGCAUUAGCUAGUUGGUAAGGUAAUGGCUUACCAAGGCAACGAUGCAUAGCCGACCUGAGAGGGUGAUCGGCCACACUGGAACUGAGACACGGUCCAGACUCCUACGGGAGGCAGCAGUAGGGAAUCUUCCGCAAUGGGCGAAAGCCUGACGGAGCAACGCCGCGUGAGUGAUGAAGGUCUUCGGAUCGUAAAACUCUGUUAUUAGGGAAGAACAUAUGUGUAAGUAACUGUGCACAUCUUGACGGUACCUAAUCAGAAAGCCACGGCUAACUACGUG